GUUUGUGAUCAUCGCUUAAGGCGUACAUUUGCCUUCUUAUGUACGUUAGGUUACAAGGAUUGUCUGGAAAGCUUGGAUGGAUGAUGUCUCCGGUCAAAAGAACUAACCGACGCAGUUCACGUAGCUCUGGCACGACUUCUAGACGUCGUAAGAUUAAUGAUGCAGUCCAACGUGCGGUCGAGGGGUUACUCCCAAAUCUGAUUCAAACUGUCACCCAACAAAUGCACACUGAAGUACUCCCUGAUUUCAUGCAAACGGUUAUGCAGCAAAUGAAUGAUGCAAGGAGCACCCAACCACCUCCCACUCCUUCUCUUUCCCCAACUCCUCCUUGUUUUUCAACUCCCCCACAUUCGCCACCAAAAGG
rnacentral:lncRNA from 1 species